rnacentral:rRNA from 1 species
AACGAACGCUGGCGGCAUGCCUAACACAUGCAAGUCGAACGAGACCUUCGGGUCUAGUGGCGCACGGGUGCGUAACGCGUGGGAACCUGCCCUUAGGUUCGGAAUAACUCCCCGAAAGGGGUGCUAAUACCGGAUAAUGUCUUCGGACCAAAGAUUUAUCGCCUUUGGAUGGGCCCGCGUUGGAUUAGCUAGUUGGUAGGGUAAAAGCCUACCAGGGCGACGAUCCAUAGCUGGUCUGAGAGGAUGAUCAGCCACACUGGGACUGAGACACGGCCCAGACUCCUACGGGAGGCAGCAGUGGGGAAUAUUGGACAAUGGGCGAAAGCCUGAUCCAGCAAUGCCGCGCGAGUGAUGAAGGCCUUAGGGUUGUAAAGCUCUUUUACCCGGGAUGAUAAUGACAGUACCGGGAGAAUAAGCGCCGGCUAACUCCGUG